rnacentral:lncRNA from 1 species
GGAGGAAUUAACUCAUGUACAUACAGAAAAUCUCCACAGACUUGUCUUCCAAUAUUUGUUCUGGAAACUGGAACACACAGAUAAGGCAAGCGCCUGACAUUGGAACUGCAGAAUAAAUUUGCAUUCUCCACGCCACAAAGAGCCCCAUUCACACAGCACUGGGGGAGGCGGCAGGAAGAGGGAAAACCUACUCUCGGCAAAAGGAAGGGUCUGACGGUCUUUCCUCCAGGAGCAAGUUCUCUCAGGCGAGAUCUCAGCCUGUUAGCACCCAACAGCCUAAAACCCUGGAGUCUUAGACCCCUCAGCCCUUGACUUAUCACUUAAUAGAAUCUUAAGACCAAAAAAUUUCAAGUCAGAAUCACAAGACUUUAGGAUUUAAUCAUUAUCCUGGCCACACCCUCAACCAGCACAGGAGUCUGCUCCAUCCUACACCAAGCCUCCAGGCUUUGGAUCAGCCCCAUGGCCACCUCUUCAGGGCAGCCCUCCUUGAUCCCUGAUCAUCCUGAUGAGAAGAACUUGGAGCAGGACCUGAGUGAGAAAAGGAACAAGCCAUUAAAAAUGGGGUAGGGGAAGAUUGUGUCUGUCUGGAUCAAGGCAACAGAUAGUGCAAAGGUCCUGGGAUAGGAAUGUACUUCAUGUGUUUGAGGAAUAGUGAGACUCGGCUUCUAAAUGUGCGAUGAGACAGGAAAAGCAGUGAGGCCAGAAGCUAGAGGAGCCUGUGACUAGACUCUGCUCUGCCCUGCCAUGCUGUGCACCUCCCUGAGCCUCCAUGGAUCCAUCAGGACAGACGAAGAACUCCACUUGCUUCCAGACCCACGGGUGGAGCCUGGUGAAGCCUGGAGGUCCUCCCAAGACCAGGCCACUUAGUUCCAGCUUCUGCCCCAGAGCUGUCCAGAUCCUCAAGGGCAAGGAUUUGUAUCUGUCUGUCUAUCGCUGCAUUUCCAGCGUCUGGAACAGCGCCUGUCAAUACGUAUUUUGUGGAAUGAAUUGUCUGCGUGAUGAGGAAGCUGAGGUGCAGAGAGGGAAAAUGGCAGAACUGGAGUGUUGAAUCUUAAAGGAGACCCACGGAGUCCACGCCAGCCUGGCACAGCCCACCGUUUCAUCCUGCCUUCCCCAGGC